rnacentral:rRNA from 1 species
UGGGGAAUCUUGGACAAUGGGCGCAAGCCUGAUCCAGCCAUGCCGCGUGAAGGAUGAAGUAUUUCGGUAUGUAAACUUCGUAAGAAUAGGAAGAAUAAAUGACGGUACUAUUUGUAAGGUCCGGCUAACUACGUGCCAGCAGCCGUGGUAAUACGUAGGGACCAAGCGUUGUUCGGAUUUACUGGGCGUAAAGGGCGCGUAGGCGGUGUGUCAAGUCAGUUGUGAAAUCUCCGAGCUUAACUCGGAACGGUCAACUGAUACUGUCACACUAGAGUACAGAAGGGGCAAUCGGAAUUCUUGGUGUAGCGGUGAAAUGCGUAGAUAUCAAGAGGAACACCUGAGGCGAAGGCGGGUUGCUGGGCUGAUACUGACGCUGAGGCGCGAAAGCUAGGGUAGCAAACGGGAUUAGAUACCCCUGUAGUCCCUGAGCGGGCUGGCAAGGCGCAU